rnacentral:lncRNA from 1 species
UACGGGGUUUCAGAGCUCUCAUUCUGAAUCGCGUAGGCAAACUAGUGGAAUUCGGUAGACGAAGAAUUUCCGUGACACUCCGUAAUGGCUUCCAGACGCCGCCCAUGCUUAACACGCGUGCACACACGCAUAUCGCAUAUGUAAGCCUGAUUGGAACUUGGGAUGAUCAGCGUAUCAAUAUGGAAAAUGUUAAAUAUGUAGCAUUAGUGGCAAUAUAUAGCAUAUGUGUGCUUGGUGUGUUCAUGGUUGACAGUACACUAACCAUACCUGAAUGAAUGAUUUUAUGGUCUCAGAGGGGUACCUUUCAAAAACCGUAAAAUUCAUCCACAUAAGUAAUGAGAUAAUACGAGCAAGAGAGUGAUCAUCUGCGAGACUGAGAG